rnacentral:rRNA from 1 species
GAUGAACGCUGGCGGCGUGCCUAAUACAUGCAAGUCGAGCGAACGGACGAGAAGCUUGCUUUUCUGAUGUUAGCGGCGGACGGGUGAGUAACACGUGGAUAACCUACCUAUAAGACUGGGAUAACUUCGGGAAACCGGAGCUAAUACCGGAUAAUAUUUUGAACCGCAUGGUUCAAAAGUGAAAGACGGUCUUGCUGUCACUUAUAGAUGGAUCCGCGCUGCAUUAGCUAGUUGGUAAGGUAACGGCUUACCAAGGCAACGAUGCAUAGCCGACCUGAGAGGGUGAUUGGCCACACUGGAACUGGAACCAGGUCCCGAAUCCCAAGGGAAGGAGGAGUAGGGAAACUUCCGGCAUGGGGCAAAGCCUGGAGGGGCCACGGCGCGUGGGGGAAGGAGGUCUUCGGAUCGUAAAACUCCGUUAUUUGGGAAAAAACUAUUGGUAAGGAAAUGUGCCCCUCUUGAAGGUACCUAAUCAGAAAGCCACGGCUAACUACGGG